rnacentral:lncRNA from 1 species
GGUUGAGAGGCUCUCUCCUCCAGGGGCCAGGGGGUCUGGUUUUAUAGUCCCUUCAAGUGAAUAUGGGCCAUUGGAUCAAACCGACAUAGAUUGUAUGGUUUAGAUUCAUCCUUUAGGUCGUUGGAGAUCUCCCACGAAGCAGAGUCCUGAUUGGACUCAGGAGGUGGGCGGGCGCCUAGGGUCAGGCCCCGUUUCGCCUCCGCUUCGGUCUCGUGGCUUCUGGAGUCUUCUAGAUGUAAGAUAAUUGCGCGGCACGUUAAUAUCUCUAUGUAAUCCCGACGUGUGGGCCUUUCUUCUGUAUUUCCUGAUAACCCCCUGCAGAAAUAGACAAACACCAAAACUCGUGGAAUUCUAUCAGAUAAAACCCUAAGUCUGGAUGUUGAUUUCAUUUGGAUCCUUUUCUUUGUUUAUUUGAUAAUUAAAUUUGAUACUUAAGGACCGUCAACAAACUCCCCCAAGCUUACCUCUUGCUCAUCCCUGAGCAAGUAUAGACUCAGCUAU